GAUCCAUCUUUCUAAGCGUGCUUAGGGUUUUUCAAUUCUUUUCCUCCAUUUUCAAUCGUAGCCGCCUGUCCUUCGUCUGUAAAUCUUCGAUCUUUCGAUGCCGCUCCACAAUUAGGGUUUCUUCUUCUUCAAUGUCUCUGUUGAUCCUCCAUCUCUGUGUGUCCUUAUUUUCAUUAUAAAGUUUUCGAUGGAUUAUCCGUAUUGCUAUCAGUUCAAUCUUAAUAGAUCUGUGUUGAAGGAUGUGCGAACAGAGAUCUAGGGUUAGAUCUGGCAAAAGUUUUGGAUGAUUUUGGAUCUGUUAUUGUGUUAGGAGUUUUCUUUUCAAUGUAUGAAUCUGGUUCGUCAAUCAAAGGGGUAUACUUCUUAUUUGGGAAGAUAAUUGAUUAUCUCGCAGUCAAUCAAGGUAUGUUUAUGUGUAGUUUUUU